rnacentral:tRNA from 1 species
GCAUCGGUGGUUUAGUGGUAAAAUUAGCCGUUGCCAAGCAUUGACUUGCUCAGUUUCGGCUAGCCCCGGGUUCGAUUCCCGGCCGAUGCA